CUUGUUAGAGCCAUAAAAAUAGUAGCACGGAACAGAAUGGAUGGCGAAUAGGAUAGGGACAAAAACCUAGCGCGCCAGCCAAGAUACUCUCAUAGGACUGCUACAGUUCAGCAAAGCAGGUUAGACCAAUUAAACAAGCGUCAGCUGCUUUCGCUGAUUAGCAUUCACACCUCACACUGUGCGGGAGAGAGAGAGAGAGAGAGAGAAAGAGAUGAUUUCAUAUGGAACAUGUUUCAUAUGGAGCGGCUUCUUGAGCUUAAACAUAAGAUAAUUUAUUGAGCCAGUUAAGCAAAGCAGCCAGGGAUAGAUAGCGGGUCGGAGAGCGAGUAUUAUGUGGCAAUGUUAUGGCUUGUUGCACAAAGUUUAAUCAUGGUUGGACGUCCCUGCACACAUUCAUCUGAGGGAUUACACCUCUGACAGGAAGACGAUGCUUCACAUACUGAUAAGAGUUUGCUUUUGUUUUUCCCCCCAUCGUCAUCACAGCUCCUUUGCUCUUCACUGCACUCAGCCGUCUAAUUCUCCCCAGGCAGACGUCAUUACAUUUCCUAUCUAAGCGAGAGUAUUUGGGCUACACAGAUCGAUGGUCUUAGUAAAUGCCAGUUGAGACUGUGUGUUGGGUCCAUUUCCAGACUAGUCAAUUGCGCCAUGCGUGGGAUUUAGGCAGCCAGAUUUACAGGACAUGCUCGACAGAGGUGAUUGUGGAAGGAGAUCAGUGUCUCCAAUGGCUUGCUUUUGUCACUCUGGGUGCAUUUGCAGUUCACAGGAGGGAAAAAGGAUAGUUGUUGUUGUGGGUCACCCUCAGUGUCUUCUGUGAAGGAGCGAAUCUUGCACAACCUGGCAGAAAGAUGGCAUCAUGGUCGUAGAUCGGCUCUAAAAUCAAAAGAAAUUAUUAACAAAAAUAAGACAAUGUUGAAAAGAGAAACAGCGGAGGAAGCCCCAGGCAGUUUGAGAACUGGAUUGGAGGAAGCAAGUGUUGCAGCCUAUAAGAUUCCUCCUUCACCUUUGUGUAACCAUAGUGUGACAGCAGAACGACAGAACAGCCCAGCAGGGGAGAUGCUGCUAUCAUCUGGACCAUGUUAAAGAGUGAUGCCUCCUUUUUGUUUCAUAAUGACCAUUUAAUAGAGAAAGUUGUUAUUCCGGCUCCAUCGCCUCCAUUGGCUAUGACUGUUGUCCAAGUGCUGUCUUCCCCGUAGGAGCUUAGCGGAGGGUCUGGACCACUUCGAAUCCACUAAAAUAUCAGCGGACACACUGGAUACUCAGGAAAGCUGGGGACAAUUUAGAAAGAGCACAGCACACAUAAUUAGAGACAUAAAAUGUUCUUUGUUUGUUAAUUCAUGUAAACAACGGUAUUGAUUACAUAAAUGGCAUAUGACAUCAGUCACAAACAACCAAUGCACAAGUUAUGCAAGUCUCACACAGUAAUUUGGGUUUAUGUGAGGACCAGCUAGGCAACUUUAAUAAAAGUUUUCUGAGGACAGUAAAUUUUAGUUUCCCAGUUUGGUGAGUCUUGAGUCUGUUUUAUGCAUUUAAUUCUGUCAUCCAAACUUUUCCUACCUAAAGUAUGUGGUCUUAAUCAGUGUUUUCCAUCUCAGUGUUUUUCAUCUACAAUUAAAACAAUUAAAUGUUUGGCGUUGCUAAGAUGUUU